rnacentral:rRNA from 1 species
GAUCAUGGCUCAGGACGAACGCUGGCGGCGUGCUUAACACAUGCAAGUCGAACGAAAAGAGGGAAAGAGCUUGCUCUUUCCGGAAUUGAGUGGCAAACGGGUGAGUAACACGUAAACAACCUGCCUUCAGGAUGGGGACAACAGACGGAAACGACUGCUAAUACCGAAUAAGUUCCAAGAGCCGCAUGGCCCAUGGAAGAAAAGGUGGCCUCUACCUGUAAGCUAUCGCCUGAAGAGGGGUUUGCGU